AACGAUGAGUGCUAGGUGUUAGGGGUUUCGAUGCCCUUAGUGCCGAAGUUAACACAUUAAGCACUCCGCCUGGGGAGUACGACCGCAAGGUUGAAACUCAAAGGAAUUGACGGGGGCCCGCACAAGCAGUGGAGCAUGUGGUUUAAUUCGAAGCAACGCGAAGAACCUUACCAGGUCUUGACAUCCUUUGACCACUCUAGAGAUAGAGCUUUCCCCUUCGGGGGACAAAGUGACAGGUGGUGCAUGGUUGUCGUCAGCUCGUGUCGUGAGAUGUUGGGUUAAGUCCCGCAACGAGCGCAACCCUUGAUCUUAGUUGCCAGCAUUCAGUUGGGCACUCUAAGGUGACUGCCGGUGACAAACCGGAGGAAGGUGGGGAUGACGUCAAAUCAUCAUGCCCCUUAUGACCUGGGCUACACACGUGCUACAAUGGAUGGUACAAAGGGCUGCAAACCC
rnacentral:rRNA from 1 species